rnacentral:lncRNA from 1 species
GAAAGGAUUGGAAGUGAACCUCGGAGAAACCCCUUUUGAAUGUACUUUUGUAUUAGGGUUUUUAAUGUACUGGGUUAGACUCUUGAUUAUUGUAUACUUUGGGAUUUGAUGUAACCUUUGAAAACUUGAUGUAAGGAUUGGAUACUUGACGUAUUUUGGAACUCGUGAUGUAAGUUUGAAUGUUAUUUAUGGGAGUGACCUCCCUUUCUUACUUAUAUCAUCGUGAUGGCCGGUAUUUCAUUAAGUUUGAACGGGAAUUGUCUUGAGUCCUGACGAGAGCUGGGCAGGCGUCCCGCGGAUACCCUUUGGUUCGCCUUAGGGAGAAGUGGGGGCGUCACAUAAUUCAACUUCCAUCAUUGAGAAAAGUGUAGGUGAAAUUGGUCCAAAAACAGAGCAAAGUUGAGAUUGAAGCUGAAAGUGCAAAACUGAGUACAAAGAAAAUCCAUGAGACACAUCCGCAAGGUGCAGGCAGGUUGUGGAUCCACCUUGCAGAUCUCUUAUUUGUAGCUGCAACUUGCUCUGCAACUUGCAUUUUGUUCACACCAACCUUUUGACCAAUUCUUCUACAAGAAAAACGACUGGAACCAGAUAAAAUUGAAUUGGAAAAGUAGAAAACAACUUUGUGUCUACAUUAUGAGAACAUCUUCUCAUCCAAAACAUCUAUAAAUACCCC